rnacentral:lncRNA from 1 species
GGGCCUUAUAAAACCUUUGUCUAAAAGAUCUUUGAGUUGAUCUUUCAACUCCUUAAGCUCUGUAGGUGCCAUACGGUAAGGAGGAAUAGAAAUAGGCUGAGUAUUGGGAAGAAGGUCAAUCCUGAAUUCUAUCUCUCUAUCGGGAGGUACCCCCGGGAGAUCUUUCGAAAAAACAUCAGGGAACUCAUUAAUAAUAUUAGCUGACUGAAUGGUU